UGCUUCAGUUUCUGACUCAUGUGAGGCCUGAGAAAGCUCAGUGUCUCUCUAGAGCUCUGGGUGAAGAGUUGGAUCUCAGUCAGACUCAGCUGGAUCUGCAGGUCUGUAGAGGUCUGGAGCUGAUUCUGGAAUAUUCUGAAGGACUGACAGAACUGGAUCUGAGUCAGUGCUGUCUCACCGAUCACAGCCUGGAUCUGCUGCUCCCAAACCUCCACAAAGCUCAAAACAUUGAUUUUAGUGGCAAUAGCAUCACUGACGCUGGGGCUGAGAAAAUCCACAGGAUCGUCACUCGCAACAGUAACA